UUAGUCUUGAUGAGAGUGUCUUCUCGGUAUUGCACUCCUCUUUGAACUACAUUGAUGCUCAGAGAAAAAUAAUUACUUGAAACUAACCCAGA